AACGCUAGCUACAGGCUUAACACAUGCAAGUCGAGGGGCAGCAUGGUCUUAGCUUGCUAAGGCCGAUGGCGACCGGCGCACGGGUGAGUAACACGUAUCCAACCUGCCGUCUACUCUUGGACAGCCUUCUGAAAGGAAGAUUAAUACAAGAUGGCACCAUGAGUCCGCAUGUUCACAUGAUUAAAGGUAUUCCGGUAGACGAUGGGGAUGCGUUCCAUUAGAUAGUAGGCGGGGUAACGGCCCACCUAGUCUUCGAUGGAUAGGGGUUCUGAGAGGAAGGUCCCCCACAUUGGAACUGAGACACGGUCCAAACUCCUACGGGAGGCAGCAGUGAGGAAUAUUGGUCAAUGGGCGAGAGCCUGAACCAGCCAAGUAGCGUGAAGGAUGACUGCCCUAUGGGUUGUAAACUUCUUUUAUAAAGGAAUAAAGUCGGGUAUGGAUACCCGUUUGCAUGUACUUUAUGAAUAAGGAUCGGCUAACUCCGUGCCAGCAGCCGCGGUAAUACGGAGGAUCCGAGCGUUAUCCGGAUUUAUUGGGUUUAAAGGGAGCGUAGAUGGAUGUUUAAGUCAGUUGUGAAAGUUUGCGGCUCAACCGUAAAAUUGCAGUUGAUACUGGAUAUCUUGAGUGCAGUUGAGGCAGGCGGAAUUCGUGGUGUAGCGGUGAAGUGCUUAGAUAUCACGAAGAACUCCGAUUG
rnacentral:rRNA from 1 species